CUACACGUGUGUGUUCGAGUUCGAGUUCGAAGAUGCGCCUAAACCCUACACUUACCAACGCCACCAAUCUUCUAUUCAAGAACUCUUGCCCUUUUUCUCCCUUGCUAUUCCCGCGCCAUUCAUCUACCAAUUUGUUAGUCACAGGUCUCACUCAACUUCUUCAAUCGCUUUCAUUAAUCCUCCUUUUUCUGUUCAAUUUAAUAAUAAAACUGCAUUUUUUUGAGUUUGAUUUAUGGAUUGCAAUUUUAACUAUUUUGGAACAAAGGACUAUCCUAUGAUACGAACGAAACUGUUCUAAGAGAUGCAUUUGAACAACAUGGCGAAAUAAUCGAAGUUAAAGUAAUAUGUGAUCAUGUCACUGGCAAAUCAAAAGGCUAUGGAUUCGUUCGCUUCACUACUGAAACUUCAGCUGCUACAGGUCGCAAAGAAAUGCAUAAAAAGAUUAUAGAUGGGAGACGCAUUCGAGUGUGUUAUGCUCACAAACAAGCCUAGCUAGCUAGCUACGAAGUGAUGCUGCUACUGUUGUCUGGAAUUUUUGUUUUGAGCUGGUUAGGGGUUCCUACUUCCUUGGUGUGUAAGGAAAACAAAGAAAGAUGAAUUAGAGUGUUUUUGGAAAUGAAAUGAUAUUCCUUAAUGGUGCGCACUUUCUUAAGGAUUUCAUGGGGUAUGGUCAUUUGUGUUCUUUCCCUCCCUCCAUUUUUACAAAUGGAACUGCAGUCCUUAAGGGACAUGGGUUGGCAUUAGCUAAUUUGAUCUACCUGAGGAUAUAUUCCAGUGAUCAUAGGAGAAUUAUGUGUGCUGAGUUCAUGCCUUAAAGUUUCUAAGCCACUCAAAAAGGAUGGUGUUUGAUUUGUGGUUUUUGUUAGUGAUGAAAUCCAUUAGGCAUUAGUUCAUUGCUUUCAUAGGUUGUCUUCAUCAUUACUUUGUAAAAUUGUUGCAAACACAUCUUAUUCUUUAUUCUAUAUAUGUUUUUAGUUUAUUUUCGUUGCAUUAAUAGACCACUACUCUACGGAGACAUUAUGAUGUUCUCCACGCAGUAAGAAUUUUUACUCCAUAGAGUAACUUAACCUCUGAUUAAGGAAUCAAUGUGUAAGGUUCUCAGAUAUCACAGAAGGUAGAAUAGGAUUAGGAUAGAGAUAGUAUAGAGAAGCAGUAGUAUGAACGAUUAAGAAUAACAAGAAUAGAAGUAGUGUGUGAAAUCACUAAAGAGGGAGAAUCAGUGUGAUAGUCCCAAACCAGUGAAUGAGUAUAUUGAGUGUGUGUGAAUGACGGUAACAAAAAUGACGAUUGGCAUUCGAGAGCCCAAUUCUCUCCACAAUUCUCUCUUUAGUCUUUUCCUACUUGAAACCAAUGCUCCUCACUUCCUAUUUAUAUCUCUCUCACUCCCUAAAUUCACGGUGCCUUCCUUGUUAAUUAGUUGUUGUUUAGGAAAAGUAUAGGUAGACAAUGAGAAUACUAAACAAUGUAAAUAAUAGAUAUGUCAAAUGUUUAAUUCAAUACAAUGUAAACAAUAGAUAUGUCAGAUGUUUAAUUCAAUAGGUAUGCAGAUGAUUAUGUUCAUUAUUUUUAAUUGGAUGAUUAUUUUUUUUUAUUCGAUUUACUCAUGUACAGUUAACAAUGGCUGGAUGUUCAAUUCACUAGGUGUACAAAUGGUUAUUCUAAUGUUAAGGUUUAGGAGCAUACCAAGCUUGAAUAGAAGUGAGAAGCAAUGCUGCAACGGCAGCCAGAAAGGCAAUGAAAGACCAUGGAGUGCUGAAAUAAGUGCUGCGUGC